AUUAGCUCAGUCGGCAGAGCACCUGACUUUUAAUCAGGGUGUCCGGGGUUCGAAUCCCCG
rnacentral:tRNA from 1 species